rnacentral:lncRNA from 1 species
AAGGGAUUGACAAAGGGAUUGCUUUUGAAUUGACCCCUGGUACUGAACUUGCAACUUUGUUAUGCAAAAAAUAUGUAAAACCGACACGUGAAUUUGGAAGAUGUUCUCCGCAUUAUCAACGACCGGGAAGUCACCAUUAUAGAUCUUGCAUGAAGCCAUGAAGGCAAUGAACAGCGAAUUGGUCAAAGAUUUGACUUACCACUGCCAAAGACAUGUCGUAUGAUUUGACUUUAAAGGAGAUGAAAA